rnacentral:lncRNA from 1 species
CAAACCCCCAAGGUUCCAAGAAGAAACUGAAGACACCUGGAAUCUGUACUUGCUUUGUGCUAUUGAGCUGUGCUUGUUAUAUGGACCUUGUUGCUUGACCAACAGAUUUAGCAUUUAAAAACCCAGUUAUUUCUGAGAAAUAAUAACCUCUUAGCCCUUUGUGGACAGUUGAGAAUUUGAGGUGUUGUUAUAAUAGAUUUUCCUUAUGUAGAAGUGAAACAUUCAGCUUAGUCUUCAAAAGUUACAGAGUGCAUGCAUAACUGGACAAUAGAUAUUUUAUAGAAAGCUAUCUACAGUGUUAGAAGUGAACAGUUUAUAUACUUUCUAUUUUUCGAUGAGGGAGAAUUUCCAGACAAGCAGGCACUUUCCUUGUUAGUAAAUGCAAGAAUUUGUGGAUGUUCCAUGUUGGUUUUUAAAGUUGAUAAAUGUAAGGCCCACUAACAGCCAUAGUCUAAAAAUACUUAUGAAAUCCACAAAGGAUUAACAGGCUGCUCUGAUGGCUUUUGGUAGAGUGAGAGAGAGAAUUUGGUAAUCUGUCCUAGAGAUUACAUUGCUGAGAAACUACUAGGGAAAGCUAUUUUUAAAAUAGUAAAGAAUAUAUGUAUCUAAGCCCCUAUGAUAGACUUAAAAAUACUAAUUUAAAUGAGUUUUAGAUUGGUUGAUUGGUUUGUUUUGAAGUAACCUGUCUUUCUUCCUGUCAUGUCUUUUUGCAGAAUCCA